rnacentral:snoRNA from 1 species
AACCCAUGGUGCGGGCACCUUCUCAAUAGAUCCUUGUAUCUCUCCCAUGCAUCAUAAAGUGUUUCUAAAUCCAUCUACACAAAAGAAGAAAUAUCAUUCAUUAAUUU